CUUCGGGUGGAGCGGCGGACGGGUUAGUAACGCGUGGGAAUAUACCCUUCACUAUGGAAUAGCCUCGGGAAACUGAGAGUAAUACCAUAUACGCCCUUCGGGGGAAAGAUUUAUCGGUGAAGGAUUAGCCCGCGUAAGAUUAGAUAGUUGGUGGGGUAAUGGCCUACCAAGUCUACGAUCUUUAGCUGGUUUUAGAGGAUGAUCAGCAACACUGGGACUGAGACACGGCCCAGACUCCUACGGGAGGCAGCAGUGGGGAAUCUUAGACAAUGGGCGCAAGCCUGAUCUAGCCAUGCCGCGUGAGUGACGAAGGUCUUAGGAUCGUAAAGCUCUUUCGCCAGAGAUGAUAAUGACAGUAUCUGGUAAAGAAACCCCGGCUAACUCCGUGCCAGCAGCCGCGGUAAUACGGAGGGGGUUAGCGUUGUUCGGAAUUACUGGGCGUAAAGCGUACGUAGGCGGAUUGGAAAGUAGGGGGUGAAAUCCCAGGGCUCAACCCUGGAACUGCCUCCUAAACUAUCAGUCUAGAGUUCGAGAGAGGUGAGUGGAAUUCCAAGUGUAGAGGUGAAAUUCGUAGAUAUUUGGAGGAACACCAGUGGCGAAGGCGGCUCACUGGCUCGAUACUGACGCUGAGGUACGAAAGUGUGGGGAGCAAACAGGAUUAGAUACCCUGGUAGUCCACACCGUAAACGAUGAAUGCCAGC
rnacentral:rRNA from 1 species